CACACACACACACACAUGUGCAAGGAAGCAGUGAGUAGCUCGUGCAUCAGCACAAGCACACCUGUCCCAGCUGCUGCUUUAAAGAAAAGGGGCGAUAAAGAGGAAUGUGCCUGUCUCAGUUUUCCUGUCAGCCCCUUGCCCUUCCCAGCAAUGUCUGUCGACCCCUGACUUGUUUAUCUUAUUGUUUUUGUGGCCAAUCAUUGUUCUGUUGCCUUCUUUGUUCCAGAUUUUUUUCUGUUCCUAAAUCAAGUAAAAAGACAUUUCACAAGACACAACCAGAAAAGGACAAAGGCGAGACUAAAAAAGAAUAAUUAAAAAGAGAUGAAAGCAGUUUUAUUCCCAGUUUGGCAGACACUUUCACUUGUCAUUUUCAGACGCACAGAGAAUUGUUCUUAAGCUUCAAAUCGCUGGUUUUCCCACAGUGGCCGCCAAUGACACAUCGACGGCGUGCAAAGUGGAAGAGAAGCUGGAAUAAAGACAUCAUUCUACAAUAAUCGCUUCAAAACAAAGUGAGGUUACGGAAGCAGUCUGACAGGCCUCUCUGCCCGAGCUCCACUUCCUGCUGACAGGAAGGACAGGGGAAGAUCAUGGGGGGAAGAGUUGUGUCCUUCCGUCGCCGCCCUGGAUGUGAGGGGGAAAAAAGCUCCUGAAAGGCAUCCUAACCUGAGUCAUGUUGAAUCCACUUCCCUCACCUGUUCUGAGGACCCGCUCCAAGCGGUCAGGAGUCCUGGGUGUGGGUCUGUGAGUUUGGCGUGGGGACCGAGUG